UAUAAUCAUCUAGUGGGCUGGAUACUCUGGCUUCUUGACUAGCAUGUGCUUUCCCUACAGGCAGAUCUAAGUGGGAAGCCAAAUUAUCAUCAGAGGGCGGCUUGGUGAGCAUGGAAUCAGGCCAGGGGAGUUCGUUAUGAGAUUUGGCAUUCCUGAGCUUUUUAUUCUUUAUACCAAGCAGCGCUGAGAAGCACAGACUCGCUGACUGUGGCUGGCUGCCUCUGCUCUUGCUGUUCCCUCCGACUUUCCAUUGUUCCCUCGGGUGAGCUACGUGUAAAGCAGGACCCAGCUCAACCACCUCCUCCUCUGGAAAGCCUUGAUCUUCCCCCAGACAGAGGUGAAAAUUCUCUCCACCAAGAUUCACAAGCCCAAGGCUCUCUUUCCUGUGGACUACAGCAGCCUUUUUCC
rnacentral:lncRNA from 1 species